GGGGUUAUAUUUUAAUUUGGUAGAAUUAUUGUGUUGCAUACAAUAGAUAUGAGUUCAAGUCUCAUUAACUCCA
rnacentral:tRNA from 3 species